AGCCAUGCCGCGUGUAUGAAGAAUCCCUUCCGGGCUGGUUAAGUACUUUCAGCGGGGUUGAAGCUGUUGAUGCUUAUUAUCAGCAGGCUAUUGGACGUUAUCCGCAGAAGAAGCACCGGCUUACUUCGGUGCCAGCAGCCCGCGGUAAUACGGAGGGUGCAAAGCGUUAAUCGGAAAUUACUGGGCGUAAAGCGCACGCAGGCGGUCUGUCAAGUCGGAUGUGAAAUCCCCGGGCUCAACCUGGGAACUGCAUCCGAAACUGGCAGGCUUGAGUCUUGUAGAGGGGGGGUAGAAUUCCAGGUGUAGCGGUGAAAUGCGUAGAGAUCUGGAGGAAUACCGGUGGCGAAGGCGGCCCCCUGGACAAAGACUGACGCUCAGGUGCGAAAGCGUGGGGAGCAAACAGGAUUAGAUACCCUGGUAGUCCACGCUGUAAACGAUGUCGACUUGGAGGUUGUGCCCUUGAGGCGUGGCUUCCCGGAGCUAACGCGUUAAGUCGACCGCCUGGGGAGUACGGCCGCAAGGUUAAAACUCAAAUGAAUUUGACGGGGGGCCCGCACAAGCGGGUGGAGCAUGUGGUUUAAUUCGAUGCAACGCGAAGAACCUUACCUACUCUUGACAUCCACGAGAAUUUGGCAGAGAUGCCUUUAGUUGGCCGUUCGGGAACUGUGAGAACAGGUGCUGCAAUGGCUGUCCGUUCAGCUCGUGUUGUGAAAUGUUGGGUUAAGUUCCCCGCCAACGAGCGCAACCCUUA
rnacentral:rRNA from 1 species